rnacentral:rRNA from 1 species
CCCUUAGAUGUUCUGGGCCGCACGCGCGCUACACUGAAUGGAUCAACGUGUUUUCCCUUCCCGAGAGGGACGGGUAACCCGCUGAACCCCAUUCGUGGUAGGGAUCGGAGCUUGCAAUUGUUCUCCGUGAACCAGGAAUUCCCAGUAAGCGCAAGUCAUAAGCUUGCGUUGAUUACGUCCCUGCCCUUUGUACACACCGCCCGUCGCACCUACCGAUUGAAUGGUCCGGUGAAAUCUCCGGACUGGCGUGAGUCGGAGCAAUCUGACAAACGCCGGAAAGUUGAUUAAACCUUACCAUUUAGAGGAAGGUGAAGUCGUAACA